GACCGGAAGGAUCCUGGGGGAGAGCCGGCGCUGUCUCCUUGCCGCUGUCCCUGCGGUGGCCCGUGCCUCAUCCGCGGGAAAGAUCUAGGGCCAGGGGGUUCGGGCGUCCUCUGUUCCCAGGGGCGGGUGCGUGCGUACCGGACGGGGAUCGGGGCUGCUCCGCCGGUGAAGGGCCGGAGUGCGAACAGGAGCCAUGGGCGGGACGUCCAGCACCCGACGGGUCACCUUUGAGGCGGAUGAGAACGAGAACAUCACGGUGGUGAAGGGCAUCCGGCUUUCAGAAAAUGUUAUUGGGCGAAUGAAAGAAUCUUCUCCAUCUGCUCCAAAGUCUCCGAGUACCUUUCGUGGUUAUGAUUCUAAAGCUAAUGAAGAAGAAAUGAGAAGACGAGUAGCUGAAGAAUUGGCUCUGAAAGAGUCUGAAAAUCUGAAAAGAGUAAAACAUGGAAAAAUCCAGGCACGUGAGGAUAUCAACAAACUUCUGGAAAGAGAGAGGUCUGUCAGCAAUGAGCAGUUAACCAGAGCCAUUCUUCGAGAGAGAGCAUCAAGUGAAGAGGAAAAAUCUAAGAUGAAGCAUAUGGACCUAGAAAUUCAGGCUAAGCAGCUGGAAGAGAAAGACAGAGUGCUAAAAAAACAGGAUGCUUUCUACAAAGAGCAGCUGGCUAGACUGGAAGAACGGAGUGCAGAGUUUUACAAAGUUACCACAGAACAAUACCAGAGGGCUGCUGAGGAAGUGGAAUCCAAGUUCAAUGUGGCUGCUAUUUCAGGAUUCACCUCAACCAAUGGGCACUCCUAUUUGUUGGUGAAGCUGGCAAGUAAUAAUACUCUGCCGGGAUACAUCUGGCUUCACCUUCCUUUCCUAACGCUAUGAGACUCAUCCAAUCUGUGCUGAUCUGCAAGCUAAAAUUCUUCAAUGUUAUCGGGAAAACCCUCAGCAAACACUCAGCUGCUCUGCUCUGGCCAAUCAAUACCAGUACUGUGUCAAUCAUGCCAAACAGAACGUGCUUGAAAAAGGAGGAUAAAGCUGACUUCCAAAGCAAGCAAAAGCCGGACAACUUUAAUUCCAGCAGUGGAGCAUUUUUUCCCCCAACAAUACAAAGCCUACUUAAAGGGCAGACCACUAAGAAGAACUGGAAGAGCCAAUUCAACAGCAACAGACAUCACAACUCAAUCAGCAGACACUUGAAAAAGCCAAAACUGGCUGUCUUAUUACAUCAGAAAUCUGACCUGUUAAAGCUCAAGGUUAAAAUAGAAUGUUUUGUGGGUGGGGUCAGGAGAAGAGAAAGGAUAAGUUGAAAGGGAGGGCAGUAUGUAUAUAAGAGAGUGGUGAAGGAGGAAAAGCCCUGUGAAUGAGAGCUACUCCCAGGGAACUAAAUUGUCUGAGCUUCCUAGAAUGCUGACUUUGUCUUUUUUUCUUUUCUCCUUUGAUAUGAAAGAGAUUUUUGUUUGUAAUUUAUUAUGAUGAUCAUGUAACUAAGAAAAGGAAAAAAAUGUCUUCCUUUUGCUGGAAUAAUGUCUAUGAUUAUAAGUGAAAUAUGGCCUUCUUAUCAAUGUAAAAGCAACUUUCUAAAGUGUGUGUGUGUAUACAUAAAUAUAUAGGUAUGUGUGUGUGUGUAUGUGUAUAUAUAUACACAUACACACACACAUAUACUUACAUACAUACACACACACAUAGAUAUCAGUUCCUUUACCAUGAAUACUGACAACCAUGCCUCACUCAGCAUCAAUAAUAAACAUAUUUUAUGAACAAGACUGGCAUUAUA